rnacentral:rRNA from 1 species
CCCAGACUCCUACGGGAGGCAGCAGUGGGGAAUAUUGCACAAUGGGGGGAACCCUGAUGCAGCGACGCCGCGUGGGUGAAGGAGUAUUUCGGUAUGUAAAGCCCUCUCAGCAGGGAAGAACAAUGACGGUACCUGACUAAGAAGCACCGGCUAAAUACGUGCCAGCAGCCGCGGUAAUACGUAUGGUGCAAGCGUUAUCCGGAUUUACUGGGUGUAAAGGGGGCGCAGACGGCAGCGCAAGCCAGGAGUGAAAGCCCGGGGGCCAACCCCGGGACUGCUAUUGGAACUGCGCGGCUGGAGUGCAGGAGGGGGAGGCGGAAUUCCUGGUGGAGCGGUGAAAUGCGUAGAUAUCAGGAGGAACACCGGUGGCGAAGGCGGCCUGCUGGACUGCGACUGACGUUGAGGCCCGAAAGCGUGGGGAGCAAACAGGAUUAGAUACCCUUGUAC